rnacentral:rRNA from 1 species
GAUGAACGCUGGCGGCGUGCCUAAUACAUGCAAGUCGAGCGAAGCGGGGACGGGUGAGUAACACGUGGAUAACCUCCUAUAAGACUGGGAUAACUUCGGGAAACCUGAGCUAACCCCGAUACUUAUCGAUGGAUCCGCGCUGCAUUAGCUAGUCGGUAAGGUAACGGCUUACCAAGGCAACGAUGCAUAGCCGACCUGAGAGGGUGAUCGGCCACACUGGAACUGAGACACGGUCCAGACUCCUACGGGAGGCAGCAGUAGGGAAUCUUCCACAAUGGGCGCAAGCCUGACGGAGCAACGCCGCGUGAGUGAAGAAGGCCUUCGGAUCGUAAAGCACUGUUAGUAGGGAAGCGGUACCUAAACAGAAAGCCCCGGCUAACUACGUGCCAGCAGCCGCGGUAAUAC